rnacentral:rRNA from 1 species
ACACGAAAACACUGGCGGAAAUUGAGCGUCACACUUUUUCUCGAAGUGUGUUGCUUGAAAGGUAGAAGCGGUAGUUCCCUUCUUUUUCUCUCGAGAAAAAACUCAUUGGUUCUUCUUGGGGCUUGCCCCAAGCUGAAGCAAACUGAGUGACGUGGUUAAGUUCGCCUCGUGCGACACCGCUACGUCAACCAUCUCAGUGCGCUGCAGUUGGAUCAACCGAGUGCGGAACACUAUUACCGUUCUUUGGAUUAUUUACUCCAAACAACAAAAUCAGAUCUGAAAUGAAGUGAGAGGACCCGCUGAACUUAAGCAUAUCAUUAAGCGGAGGAAAAGAAAAUAACAAUGAUUCCC